GAUGAACGCUGGCGGCGUGCCUAAUACAUGCAAGUCGAGCGAACGGACGAGAAGCUUGCUUCUCUGAUGUUAGCGGCGGACGGGUGGGUAACACGUGGAUAACCUACCUAUAAGACUGGGAUAACUUCGGGAAACCGGAGCUAAUACCGGAUAAUAUUUUGAACCGCAUGGUUCAAAAGUGAAAGACGGUCUUGCUGUCACUUAUAGAUGGAUCCGCGCUGCAUUAGCUAGUUGGUAAGGUAACGGCUUACCAAGGCAACGAUGCAUAGCCGACCUGAGAGGGUGAUCGGCCACACUGGAACUGAGACACGGUCCAGACUCCUACGGGAGGCAGCAGUAGGGAAUCUUCCGCAAUGGGCGAAAGCCUGACGGAGCAACGCCGCGUGAGUGAUGAAGGUCUUCGGAUCGUAAAACUCUGUUAUUAGGGAAGAACAUAUGUGUAAGUAACUGUGCACAUCUUGACGGUACCUAAUCAGAAAGCCACGGCUAGCUACGUG
rnacentral:rRNA from 1 species